rnacentral:lncRNA from 1 species
AAAGGCUCAAGAUCAUUAUAUUCCCUCCAAUUCCUGAUCCUGGCAAAAUUUUUAAAGAAAUGUUUGGAGACCAGAAUGAUGAUACCCUGCACUGGAAGAAGUACGACAUCUAUGAGAAGCAAACCAAAGAAGAAACUGACUCUGUAGUGCUGAUAGAAAGCCUGAAGAGAGCCGCUCAGUGAUGGGGAUAAUUUAUUUUAACCUUCAAUGUGACCUUGUGAAGAUUCAUUUCGUUCUCCAUUUGGUAUCCGGAAACUUGUUAAAUGGCAACUGCAGCUACUGGACCAUUUAAAAACAGGCAGCUCGUAAGAGCCACAGGUCUUUAUGUUGAGUCGUGCCCCGAAAAACCAAAGAUAAUGGGCCCUUUGGAGAAAAGAGUGGAGUCCUUCUCGUUGAAUUAUAAAAGCAGACAUCUUUUGCAAAGGCUUCAAACUAGGGGACAAAAGCAAAAAGCGAUGAUGGCAGCCAAGUUAGUCUUAUCAAGAGGUGUGACAGCUUCCUGAGGGAUCUCUGCCUGCUUUGUAUUCUUUGUCUCAAAUAAUACCAACAAGUUUUAUUUAUAGGAGAACUCAUGUUGGGUACAAAUGCUAAAGUCAAAGUUGAGUCACGGACAACAUCUAGCAAACAAAAUUGAUAAAAUCUGUUAUCCAUUGCUUGGGAGCCCAUUGAGUAAUGGCUCUGGCUAUUAAAACUCUUAAUCGUCCAGAAUCACCAUCCCCUUCAGCAGCAUUUUCCUCCGCUUUGAAAGGCCCAGGCAUCUGUGUUGGCCGUGGUGAUGAUGACAGAAAAAGCAGAGGCAGCUUCUUUACCAAGACCUUUCAAAGCCAUCGCAGGCUUUUAAUGGCAGUACAGGCGGAACGACUUACUGGCUCUUAGAGUUUGAACCACAGUCCCUAAUGAUGUAUUAUUUUCUUUGCUUCACCUCUGCUACCCAAAUCAAGCAUUUACUCCUCGCCCAGAUCAUACUAGGCCCACAGGUGUGAGGCACAGACUCCCUCAAAGAAUUGACAGUCUGGUUGGGGCUCCUCAGGUCUUUCUCCCCACCAGUCAUUUCCCGGACCUUUCAGCUCCCCAGUCCCAGCCCUUCUGCAUCUCCCCCGUUCCCUUCUCCAUAGUCUUUCACCCUCAGUAGCAAUUAGAUCAUAAAUCUGCUCAGAACACCUAGUGGAGCAGGGAGUAAAUUGCAUCUCAGGUAAAGUGUGAGUCGACUGAGAAACCAUGACUAAGUCUCGAAUAUUUUGUCACUUCUGUGUGAGUCUGCGUUUCUUUGAGGGUUUGCAGCAUUUAGUAUUUCUCUACGCAUUUUCUAACAGAAAGAAGGUAUUAUCUUCACCUAGAACUCUACUGUUUGCUUGAGAAAAAAAAAAUAAUAGUUGUCUUUCUCUUUUCCCUUAUUCCCACAAAUGGUUGUUAGUAGGUUUCAUUUCUUGUAUUCAUAGCCAGCCCGCCAAAGCUCCAAUGUUUGUUCGUUUGUUUGUUUGCAUAUGUUAGGGCUCCAUUCUCACUCAUCCCCGCAACAUAUCCAUAUAUAUGUAUAUAUAUAUAUAUAUUCCCUCCACUCCUCCUACUUCCCCCAAAUUUCCAGUUUGGAAAUGAGAAGUCCCCCUCCCGUGUUUCUGUCCUCACACAGGUAGACUCAGAUUACUGGUAGGAACUUGAGAACUUUAGAGCACAAGUUCUCUAAACAGUCAUCCGUUUGUUCUCAUAAGGCUACUUCCAGUUCCUGCUCUUAGGGGAAGGGAGAGCAGAGAUCCCUGCUCUUUACAGGUUGGGGCAAAAAGUGGCAACGUGCUGGCACCACAGUGGAGGAGCACUAUGCCCCCGGGAAUUUUUGAGGAAGUUGGAGUUCAUGGCAGUGGGAGAUGUCAAGGGGUUUCUUCCCUGUGCUUUUGAGGUCAGGUUGAGGCCGGGAGACAGGCAUGGUGUUCUGUUUUGUCUUACUCUUCUCUAAAAAGAAUAUUUGAUUUUCCCGUGUAAGGAUGAGAUUACUUCCUAGCCAGGUCUUAUAAUUCUGAGAAACAAAACACCUAAGUGCCUCGACCAAAGCCAUUUUUCCUGUCAUCCGAUUUAGAUGGCAUUGGGGAGGAUACUUUGAUAUUCUGAUCACCCAAGGAACAACGGCAGUCCUGCAGCCUGGGAGAGGGGAAAUUGUGUGUUUUGUUUCCAUCUUGCUCUUGUAGCAGUAAACUAGUUGAGGGAAAGGGGGGGCAGUGAAUUAUGGGAGUACCUAUGGUGUUUUAUAAUGGCUGCAAAGUGAUCCCCAGGUCCUGAGAGCUUUAAUACAUCAGUGGAAUUCCCAUGACCUAUAGGAAACGAGUAGAUUCAUGUACUCUUUUAUGUCUAACCUGUAUGGAUUUUUUUUCUCCACAUAUCUAAGUAAACUCAUUAUAAGAAUGGUCAUUCUUAUUCUUUCAUUCAAAUAAGUUUUUUCUUCAUCUGGGCACUGAAGGGAUACGUGAAACAAAGUUAACAUUUUUGGUAAUGCCUUCCGCUGGGGAUCAUUUUGUUUAGCUUCUUAUAGGAAAGCUUGAGUAAAAUAAAUAUUGUCUUUUUGUAUGUC